rnacentral:rRNA from 1 species
GGGGGGGGGGGGGGGGGGGGGGGGGGGGGGGGGGGGGGGGGGGGGGGGGGGGGGGGGGGGGGGCGGGCGUGAGGGGCGGGCGGGUGGGGGACACGUGGAUGACCGACCUGUAAGGCUGGGGGAGCGUCGGGAAACCGGAGCGAGUACCGGAGAAUAUAUUGAACCGCAGUGGUCAAUAGGGCACGCCGGUGUUGCUGUCACGUAUAGAUGGAUCCGCGCCGCAUUAGCUAGUUGGUAAGGUAACGGCUUACCAAGGCAACGAUGCGUAGCCGACCUGAGAGGGUGAUCGGCCACACUGGAACUGAGACACGGUCCAGACUCCUACGGGAGGCAGCAGUAGGGAAUCUUCCGCAAUGGGCGAAAGCCUGACGGAGCAACGCCGCGUGAGUGAUGAAGGUCUUCGGAUCGUAAAACUCUGUUAUUAGGGAAGAACAAAUGUGUAAGUAACUAUGCACGUCUUGACGGUACCUAAUCAGAAAGCCACGGCUAACUACGUG